CUUAAACAUGCAGUCGAACGGAGUUUAACAGCUGAUGAAGCUUCGGCAGAUUCUUGUUAAACUUAGUGGCGGACGGGUGAGUAACGCGUGGGUAACCUGCCUCAUACAGGGGGAUAGCAGUUGGAAACGACUGAUAACACCGCAUAAGCGCACAGGAUCGCAUGAUCUAGUGUGAAAAUAUUUAUAGGUAUGAGAUGGACCCGCGUCUGAUUAGCUAGUUGGUGAGGUAACGGCCCACCAAGGCGACGAUCAGUAGCCGGCCUGAGAGGGCGGACGGCCACAUUGGGACUGAGACACGGCCCAAACUCCUACGGGAGGCAGCAGUGGGGGAUAUUGCACAAUGGGCGAAAGCCUGAUGCAGCGACGCCGCGUGAGUGAAGAAGUAUUUCGGUAUGUAAAGCUCUAUCAGCAGGGAAGAAAGACCUCGUAAGAGGGGAUGACGGUACCUGAGUAAGAAGCCCCGGCUAACUACGUGCCAGCAGCCGCGGUAAUACGUAGGGGGCAAGCGUUAUCCGGAUUUACUGGGUGUAAAGGGAGCGUAGACGGUGUAUCAAGUCUGAAGUGAAACCCCACGGCUCAACCGUGGGCUUGCUUUGGAAACUGGUAGACUAGAGUACUGGAGAGGUAAGCGGAAUUCCUGGUGUAGUAGUGAAAUGCGUAGAUAUCAGGAAGAACAUCAGUGGCGAAGGCGGCUUACUGGACAGCAACUGACGUUGAGGCUCGAAGGCGUGGGGAGCAAACAGGAUUAGAUACCCUGGUAGUCCACGCCAGUAAACGA
rnacentral:rRNA from 1 species